rnacentral:rRNA from 1 species
UACGUAGGGUCCGAGCGUUGUCCGGAAUUAUUGGGCGUAAAGGGCUCGUAGGCGGUUCGUCACGUCGGGAGUGAAAACUCGGGGCUUAACCCCGAGCCUGCUUCCGAUACGGGCAGACUAGAGGUAGGCAGGGGAGAGCGGAACUCCUGGUGUAGCGGUGGAAUGCGCAGAUAUCAGGAGGAACACCGGUGGCGAAGGCGGGUCUCUGGCCGGCACUGACUGACGCUGAGGAGCGAAAGCGUGGGGAGCGAACAGG